AUAAGGGGAUGGUGGCACGUAAUCUGAAACAUAGUCAUGGUAUGCUCCUCUACGGUAGAAAUUAGUACCCAUGAUAAUAGUCGCCAAAUCUACUUCAUCUUCCCCAAUAAAAGAAAAUGACCGCAGUCAGAAAACAAACGAUUCUCACAGUUUGGCAGCAAAUGUUGGAGUCUUUGACCUUCCUCUUGACUUGGUAGCAACUGAUCCUUUCCGCUG
rnacentral:misc_RNA from 1 species